rnacentral:piRNA from 1 species
UCACAACACUUGAAUAACUUA